UGCCCCUUUCCUGGUGCUUUAUGGUGGCUACGGAAGACCAGUUCGAUUGAGAACUGCUUUUCAGCCUGGAAUCAGACAUCUUCCAGAGGGUUUGGACACUGUCCAUGUGUAGGUCAUUAUCACACAAAGAGACCAAUAAAAAUUUUAAAAAAAGAAACUGUUGGAGGUGGUGGCAAAUGAUGUAUUUACUGUUUGCAGGAUAGUUAAAGGUGUUUAAAGGGUAAGGCUCUUGGCGUAAAUGCUGGUUGGGGUGUAUGUGUAGAUACAGGGACCUCCCUCUGUACUGUGUAAUCGGCAUAAAUACCUAGACCCAUAUGUGUGGAAUCUUAAAAUCUCUUAGCCUACUGAUUGGUUUGUGUAAGCACACCAGCUGCAGAUGUGUGCUGAAAUGCAAGAUGGUUUUUGCAAGGGAUGCCUCUUGUAAUACUAACCGCCUGAUGAUGGGUUUUGGUUUUCAGACAUGUUUUUAAAAAAAUUCUACAAAUGAAUACUCACCUUGGAAAUAUUCACCUUGGCGGGGGGGGGAAAAAGAUUUUGCUCUGCCCUUCUAGAUCCCUUUACGCUGCAAGUGGCAACAUGUUCAGAUUUCUAAUUUGGUUCAUUGUGGCCUAUCUGGUUUAAGUAUUUCAUUAGAAAUGUCUCGUUAGAGUAUUUGAUGUCAUGCACCAAAAAGUAAAACCCCACCUUGUUGCAAAAGCCGACCUCGUUGCAUGGAUUUAAGAGCGAAGGAAAAGCACAAGGAUGAGGUCCUUCCUAAUCCAUUCUUGUGGGAACUGGCCUUCGUAGCAAAUGCAGACAAUGAGUGCUUGAGAUAAAAGAAAGCGUGUGAUGUAAUGAUCACUGUACUCAGGCACUUCACAGUUUACUUGAAAGAGGCUUUGGAAAAUAGAUAAAGCAAAAGAAGAAUAAAUACAUAUUUUUAAUAAUGUAAUUUAAAAAUCCUUUAUAAUCAGGACUGAGUCUUGGUUUGCAGAAGAUGUCAUUUACCCUGAAACACAGUAUCGAAAGGGAAACUUAACACUUAACUGUUUGAUUUUUAUUUCCUCUUAAAAUUCAUGUUUACAGGUAGAAUUAUGUGUAUCACCCCCUCCCCUCACUAUGAGAAAUUUCUUUUACGAAGGAGGCCUAUAGAAAUUGGGCAUGAUCAUGCUUGGGCAUGUGAGUUAGUCAAAUUAUAAAUCCAUGCCUAUUGUCCAUUGCACUCAGAAAGUUAAUUUAAGAACCAGAGGUUGAAGUCCCGGCUUCCUGCUUGAAACCCAAUUCUUAUAGGAAAUAUUGGAAAAGAGGAAACCUAGCCCAUCUUCCUUUUAUCUUUUGUCGGUGAAUUUGGUACCUCUCCAAUGCUGGUCUUUUUGUAGGAACUCAGUAGAGAAAAGAGAGCUAACGAAGUGUGAAAGCCUGCAGGAUUUCGGUUUACAUAUCGACAGCAUAGUCACUGAUUUCUAAAUGGGCUGGUCCCAUCAUCUGAAGAUUCUGUAUAGAGUUAUUAAAAAAAAAAAUCCAUCUUCCUUUAUUUUCUUCACAUGUAACAAUUUCUUAUGCACUUUGACAUUUUGGUAGUUCCACACUAUUGAGAGAAUAAUAUAUUUAUUUUGUGACAUUGCCAAUGCCAAAUACUGUCACCAUCUUGUGCUAACCAUACUUAGGUUCGAGAUCACUGUUCAGAUCCUGUCAUGCUUAACCAACGAAGCGACAUGAUUUUGGGUUUUGCAUUAUCAAGACUUAAGGGUGCAGUCAGCUGUUCGUAAUUGUGCAGUAAAGUAAAGCCCUGUGGUGUGUCCACUAAUAGUUAAGAGUCUCAGUUGAUUUCUGUCAUGUUUGACCUAAUAAUAGCCCAUUUUUUCUCUGACCAAACAGAGGAAGCGCACAUCAGAUCACCUUGGAGUGGUCCUGGGGGAGUUCUCUCCUACAUAUCAUCAGUGAUUUAUUAUACCUCCUGGCCUUUGGAGAAUGAAUGGGUUUCACACCGAGGAAGUUGGCCUCCCCACGUGAGCUUUUGAAAUUGUUUCUCAUAGACACAGGGAGGCCGAUUUUGUUUCAAACGGAUUCUCUUCACAGAUUCUCUGUCAUGGUGUUGGGACGAUGUCUCCUGGUUUCAGUUUUCGUUUCUACUGCUGUAAUUCUCUGUCCUGAACAUUCUUCUGUUCCUGUUCCCUUUUAUAUGCAUAUAUGAUGCUGUGAACAGAAAUAAAUUAUUUAUACAA